UAGGGAAUAUUGGACAAUGGGGGGAACCCUGAUCCAGCCAUGCCGCGUGGAGGAAGACUGCCCUCUGGGUUGUAAACUCCUUUUAUAUGGGAAGAACCGUCCUCAUUGAUGAGUGACCUGACGGUACCAUAGGAAUAAGCACCGGCUAACUCCGUGCCAGCAGCCGCGGUAAUACGGAGGGUGCAAGCGUUAUCCGGAUUCACUGGGUUUAAAGGGUGCGUAGGCGGAUAUGUAAGUCAGUGGUGAAAUCAACGGGCUCAACCUGUUAACUGCCAUUGAUACUGUGUAUCUUGAAUAUGAGAGAGGUAGGCGGAAUGUUGCAUGUAGCGGUGAAAUGCUUAGAUAUGCUACGGAACACCGAUUGCGAAGGCAGCUUACUAUUUCGUAAUUGACGCUGAGUCACGAAAGCGUGGGUAGCGAA
rnacentral:rRNA from 1 species